UAGGGAAUCUUGCGCAAUGAGCGAAAGCUUGACGCAGCGACGCCGCGUGCGGGAUGAAGGCCCUCGGGUCGUAAACCGCUUUCAGCAGGGACGAAAUUGACGGUACCUGCAGAAGAAGGCCCGGCCAACUACGUGCCAGCAGCCGCGGUAAUACGUAGGGGCCAAGCGUUGUCCGGAUUUAUUGGGCGUAAAGAGCUCGUAGGCGGUUCGGCAAGUCAACGGUGAAAUCUCCACGCUCAACGUGGAGGGGCCCGUUGAGACUGCUGUGACUCGAGUCCGGUAGGGGAGUGUGGAAUUCCCGGUGUAGCGGUGAAAUGCGCAGAGAUCGGGAGGAACACCCGUAGCGAAGGCGGCACUCUGGGCCGGUACUGACGCUGAGGAGCGAAAGCGUGGGGAGCAAACAGGAUUAGAUACCCUGGUAGUCCACGCCGUAAACGUUGGGGCACUAGGUGUGGGGCUCUAUCGACGGGCUCCGUGCCGUAGCUAACGCAUUAAGUGCCCCGCCUGGGGA
rnacentral:rRNA from 1 species